rnacentral:rRNA from 12 species
UGGAGCUUGCGGCUUAAUUUGACUCAACGCAGGAAAACUUACCAGGCCCGUACAUAGGGAGGAUUGACAGAUUGAUAGCUCUUUCUUGAUUCUAUGGGAGGUGGUGCAUGGCCGUUUCUAGUUCGUGGGAUGACUUGUCAGGUUAAUUCCGAUAACGAGCGAGACCUCAGCCUCUAUAGAGCCUCAGGUGGUUAACGGUAUCAUAGAGGGACGCUUGGUGGUAAACCAAGGGAAGCAUGAGGCCAUAGCAGGUCUGUGAUGCCCUUAGAUGUCCUGGGCCGCACGCGUGUUACACU